UACGUAGGGUGCAAGCGUUGUCCGGAAUUAUUGGGCGUAAAGAGCUCGUAGGCGGUUUGUCACGUCUGCUGUGAAAACUGGAGGCUCAACCUCCAGCUUGCAGUGGGUACGGGCAGACUAGAGUGCGGUAGGGGAGAUUGGAAUUCCUGGUGUAGCGGUGGAAUGCGCAGAUAUCAGGAGGAACACCGAUGGCGAAGGCAGACCUCUGGGCCGUAACUGACGCUGAGGAGCGAAAGCGUGGGGAGCGAACAGG
rnacentral:rRNA from 1 species